GACGAACGCUGGCGGCGUGCUUAACACAUGCAAGUCGAACGGAAAGGCCCUGCUUGCAGGGUACUCGAGUGGCGAACGGGUGAGUAACACGUGGGUGAUCUGCCCUGCACUUCGGGAUAAGCCUGGGAAACUGGGUCUAAUACCUGAUAGGAGCCAUUUUUAGUGUGAUGGUUGGAAAGUUUUUUCGGUGUAGGAUGAGCUCGCGGCCUAUCAGCUUGUUGGUGGGGUAAUGGCCUACCAAGGCGGCGACGGGUAGCCGGCCUGAGAGGGUGGACGGCCACAUUGGGACUGAGAUACGGCCCAGACUCCUACGGGAGGCAGCAGUGGGGAAGAUUGCACCAUGGGCGCAAGCCUGAUGCAGCGACGCCGCGUGGGGGAUGACGGCCUUCGGGUUGUAAACUCCUUUCGCUAGGGACGAAGCUUUUUGUGACGGUACCUAGAUAAGAAGCACCGGCUAACUACGUG
rnacentral:rRNA from 1 species